UACGUAGGGCGCAAGCGUUGUCCGGAAUUAUUGGGCGUAAAGAGCUCGUAGGCGGCUUGUCGCGUCGGAUGUGAAAGCCCGGGGCUUAACCCCGGGUCUGCAUUCGAUACGGGCAGGCUAGAGUGUGGUAGGGGAGAUCGGAAUUCCUGGUGUAGCGGUGAAAUGCGCAGAUAUCAGGAGGAACACCGGUGGCGAAGGCGGAUCUCUGGGCCAUUACUGACGCUGAGGAGCGAAAGUGUGGGGAGCGAACAGG
rnacentral:rRNA from 1 species